rnacentral:lncRNA from 10 species
AGUAGUGUCUGACUCAAUAAACACCGCUGAAUUUUUGAAUAAUAGCAGAAUAAAAAGGAAUGAAUGAUGCCUAUCAGAGACAACACAGUUCAAGGCUCAUAAAGGGCUCUUCUGCCUCCAGUCCCAGCCUGCUCCAACCCCUUUCUCAUCCUGGUGCUGGACACACUGCCAGUGGGGCUCACCUACAUGCUGGCCACAGAUCAUUGGUUUCUCGAUACGUUUCUAUUAUCUUCAAACUUUUCUACAAGAUGAACAAGCUGCCUAGAGGAGUGGGAAACCAGCCAGAUAUCCCCAUCCUGGUUUGACCAUGCCUCAUGGAAGGGACAUGACAUGGAAGACCACAAUAUGAAGGACUCUGAAAUAAUCAAAGCAAAUGGCAUCUUUUCCUGGAAGAAUAACAGCCCGGAAAAUGGGAGUCCUAUUCGACUUGGAGAGACCACCUCUGGGAAGUCAAAUGAACAGAGACUAUCGCCCUCACUCCGCAGAUGGAGAAACUGAGAUCCAGAGCCCUCAGCUCAGCAUCAUCUAAAAGAACAACCAUAUUCCUUGUGUCUAGCAGCAGCCUAGAGAUGCCCCAAGGCUGCAUCAUCCAAUGUGAAAGCCACCAGCCACACUAGGUUAUUGAGCGCCUGCAGUGUGGCAGGUCUGAAAUGAGAAUGGCUGUCAAUGUAAAAUACUUAUCAGAGUCCUGAAGACUUAGCUCAAAAAAAGAAUAUAAAAUAUCUCUUUAAUAAUUUUUUAUACAUAUUACAUGUUGAAAUGAUAUUAUUUUGGAUAUAUUGGGUUAAAUAAAAG